rnacentral:misc_RNA from 1 species
AACUUCUUCGCAAGGAAUGGUAAGACCCAUCUCAUGUUUAAAGCCAAACUCUUCUUCAGCUCUUUGAAGCAAACUCUGAAACUCAGGGUGAUCCAACCAUGAUAUUGGAAUAAUAUAUCUGCCUCUGUUCUCCCCUACGUAGACAGCGAAGUGACCUUUUGGUACAUCAUCAGGAAGCCCCUGUUGCUCAUCAUACACUUGUUUCUUUCUCUUGAGAAUUUGUUUGAGAGCUGCUGUUUGGGGUAACUUGUUGGAUUUUCUUAUGGCCAUGUUUAAUUUUGGUGGUGAGGGAAAAAAGAGAGGGCUAAAGAAAAGAGAAGUGCAAGUAGUGGAGAAGGAUUGAAG